GGAUCAGUACGUUGGUCAUGCCUUGGUAUGUACUGGUGUUACUGAUUUCUACCUUCUGACGAACCGUCAUGUCAUUAGUUUGGUGUGGCGGGGAAUCAGGACUGUUACUUUGAAAAAAUUAGAGUGUUUAAAGCAGGCUCACGCUUGAAUACAUUAGCAUGGAAUAAUGAAAUAGGACGUUGAUCUUAUUUUGUUGGUUUCUAGGAUUGACGUA
rnacentral:rRNA from 1 species